CACGGGGGUUGCGAGCGUUGUCCGGAAUUACUAGGCGUAAAGGGCAGGUAGGCGGAUCUAUAAGUUUUUUGUCAAAUUCAACGGCUCACCCGUUGCGAGGCAGGAGAUACUGUAGAUCUGGAAUGCGGUUGGGGAAGACAGAAUUCCUGGUGUAGCGGUGGAAUGCGCAGAGAUCAGGAGGAAUACCUAAGGCGAAGGCAGUCUUCUAAGCCGUAAUUGACGCUAAACUGCGAAGGUGUGGGUAUCAAACAGGAUUAGAUACCCUGGUAGUCCACACAGUAAACGAUAAUCACUGGGUGUCGGGUUCGUAGAGGAUUCGGUGCCGUAGCUAACGCGAUAAGUGAUUCGCCUGGGGAGUACGAUCGCAAGGUUGAA
rnacentral:rRNA from 1 species